GCAUAGAAAACUUCAGCCCAAAAAAUUAAAGUCUGGCAAAGUUAUGAGCAACUGAAACAGGAUCUUAUGAUGGGAAGUGACAAGCAACCUCAAUAGUAGAUGUGAAGCUAAAAAUCUUGUACCAGUGGACUUUUUCCAGAUAUUCUUGCUCUGGCUAGAUUUCAGCUCCUUUGCUGACCCUAGAAGAUGCAAAAUGUUCUCUUUCCAAUCAAAAGAUGAAAUUUUCUGAGGAAAGCAGACAGUUCCACACAACAUUUUCAAUUGUUCCACACAACAGCUUUUUAUUUGUAAAAGAGAAGUGUUGAUCAGCCCUACCUGGAAGGCAUUGUUUCCAGCAAUGUGUCAUGUUAUGAGGCAGGCAGAAGCCAGGAAAAUAGGGAAGUCCA